rnacentral:ncRNA from 2 species
CACAAUCAUCACGAGAUCCGCCGAGUGCGGACGCCAACCGAGAGUUAACCCUCCACGGUGGUAUAGUAUGAGGGCAGUCCUGCCACAAUAAAAGGUUUAC